CUCGUGGCCCAGUGGGUAGAGUGAUGCACUUGGAGUUUGGCGUGAGGGAAGUGAGGGGCGCGUAGGUUCGAACCCCCUCUCGGAACUCACAAAAACCUUCAAAGAGCAUCCCUCCAUCACCAUGUGUGCCUCAAACACACAGGUACGGUGAUGGAGCUGCCCACGGGGAGGAGGGGAGGUGAGUGCGCAGCACCUCCCUACCCCUCCCCAGGGGAGGAAGGCACCGCCUUACCGCCCCCGGGAGAGCAAGGGAGGUGAGUGCACAGCGCUUCCCUUCUCUCCCCUACCUAACCCUGGCAAGUCUACGGACUACCAGGCAAAAAAUAAUAAAAACAAAAAAAAAAAUAAAAUAAAAUAAAAAAAUAAAAAAAUAAAAAUAAAGGUAAGUGCAUAGCACUUCCCUUCUCUCCACCUAACAGGAAAAAAUAAAUAAAAAAAAACAUAAAGGUGAGUGCAUAGCACUUCCCUUCUCUCCCAACCUACCAGGCAAAAGAUAGGAAAAAAAAAAAAAUAAUAAUAAUAAAAA